rnacentral:rRNA from 1 species
CCUACGGGAGGCUGCAGCAGUGGGGAAUAUUGCACAAUGGGCGCAAGCCUGCUGCAGCCAUGCCGCGUGUGUGAAGAAGGCCUUCGGGUUGUAAAGCACUUUCAGCGGGGAGGAAGGCGGUGAGGUUAAUAACCUCAUCGAUUGACGUUACCCGCAGAAGAAGCACCGGCUAACUCCGUGCCAGCAGCCGCGGUAAUACGGAGGGUGCAAGCGUUAAUCGGAAUUACUGGGCGUAAAGCGCACGCAGGCGGUCUGUCAAGUCGGAUGUGAAAUCCCCGGGCUCAACCUGGGAACUGCAUUCGAAACUGGCAGGCUAGAGUCUUGUAGAGGGGGGUAGAAUUCCAGGUGUAGCGGUGAAAUGCGUAGAGAUCUGGAGGAAUACCGGUGGCGAAGGCGGCCCCCUGGACAAAGACUGACGCUCAGGUGCGAAAGCGUGGGGAGCAAACAGGAUUAGAUACCCGUGUAGUC